AGUGAACGCUGGCGGUAGGCCUAACACAUGCAAGUCGAACGGCAGCACAGUAAGAGCUUGCUCUUACGGGUGGCGAGUGGCGGACGGGUGAGGAAUACAUCGGAAUCUACUUUUUCGUGGGGGAUAACGUAGGGAAACUUACGCUAAUACCGCAUACGACCUACGGGUGAAAGCAGGGGAUCUUCGGACCUUGCGCGAUUGAAUGAGCCGAUGUCGGAUUAGCUAGUUGGCGGGGUAAAGGCCCACCAAGGCGACGAUCCGUAGCUGGUCUGAGAGGAUGAACCGACGACGUGGAAGUGAGGCAGGCCCCAGACUCCGGCGGGGGGCACCAUGGGGGAAUUUUGGACAAGGGGCUCGAGCCUACUCCACCCUUCCCGCGUGGGGAAAAAAGGCCUUCGGUUUGUAAGCCCUUUUUGUGGAAAAAGAAAAAGAGGGAGUUAAUCCCCCGCUUUCCUGACGGGACCAAAAAAAUAAGCACCGACAAUUUUCGUG
rnacentral:rRNA from 1 species